AAUGAAUUGGACUUUAUAUGCGCAGUAUAGGUGGGAGGCUAUGAAAUCUUUUUGCGGAAUGGUUUGAGCCAUCAGUGAGAUACCACUCUUAUAAUGUUAGAUUUCUAACUUUGCAUCAUUAUCUGGUCAAAGAACAGUUUCAGGCGGGCAGUUUGACUGGGGCGGUCGCCUCCCAAACGGUAACGGAGGCGCACAAAGGUUUCCUCUGAACGGGUAGAAAUCGUAUCUAGAGUGUAAAGGCAUAAGGAAGCUUGACUGUGAGACCUACAAGUCGAGCAGGGACGAAAGUCGGUCUUAGUGAUCUGACGGUGCUGAGUGGAAAGGCCGUCACUCAACGGAUAAAAGUUACUCUAGGGAAACAGACUGAA
rnacentral:rRNA from 1 species